rnacentral:rRNA from 1 species
AUUGAACGCUGGCGGCAUGCCUUACACAUGCAAGUCGAACGGCAGCACGGGUGCUUGCACCUGGUGGCGAGUGGCGAACGGGUGAGUAAUACAUCGGAACGUACCUUAUCGUGGGGGAUAACGCAGCGAAAGCUGUGCUAAUACCGCAUACGCCCUGAGGGGGAAAGCGGGGGAUCGAAAGACCUCGCGCGAUUAGAGCGGCCGAUGCCGGAUUAGCUUGUUGGUGGGGUAAAAGCCCACCAAGGCGACGAUCAGUAGCUGGUCUGAGAGGACGAUCAGCCACACUGGGACUGAGACACGGCCCAGACUCCUACGGGAGGCAGCAGUGGGGAAUUUUGGACAAUGGGAGCAACCCUGAUCCAGCAAUGCCGCGUGAGUGAAGAAGGCCUUCGGGUUGUAAAGCUCUUUUGUCAGGGAAGAAACACCGGCUCUAACACAGUCCGGGAAUGACGGUACCUGAAGAAUAAGCACCGGCUAACUACGUGCCAGCCGCCGCGGUAA